UUCGUAAAUCUGGAAAACACAAUUCCCAGGUGAUGACCAUGACCCUAGAAAAAGUUUAGAGAAAACAACCUCAUUACGAGACAUACCUUGCAAUAGAUGUUUGUUUAACUGGAAAUCCACAGGAGCAGCUGCCCAGUGCAACAGUACAUAUUUGCUUCUGAAUCCUUUCUCAAAGGCACUAUUUAAACAUGUUGAUGAACUGAACUGAAUUUCUCCCCACCUCCAUUUCAGCAAAACAAGGAGACUCAGAAGAUAAAAUUUGUUUUGAUAUUGCAAGUAGUGCUAUGUGCUGAUAUCUUUUACAAGGCUGUGUCUACCAUGAUUUGAAAAUGAAAUUCAAAGUAUUGACAAGGUGAUGAAUCGUCUCCUUCUCUGAACUUUACAUACUCAGAGUGAUGCUUAUUCUACCUCACUGUUACAGGCCACAGGUGAGCAGACUACUUCUGCAAAGCUGUGGUAGAGACUUCAUUUUAAUAACCGCAGCAAUUUGAAUAUGCACUUGUUUCUGCCUGAGGGAUAAACAUCUGCACGUGGUAGAAAAUGGAUCUGUGACACUGAACUCCUGCAAAGCUCUGCUUUCCCACCUGCCAAAAUAAAAUAACCAAACAGGACAUUUCACCUUCAGUCAGAGCCCAAACAGAAAUUUUUAGAAAGAGGAGAUUUUUUGAGGUUACUGAUAUGUGGUAACACAGCAGAAGCAGAUAAGACAUAGUUACGGUGUUCUGAGAUAACAUGUUCCAGCAGGUACAUCACCUCUUCGCUUGGAAAAUUGGCCUGUGUUUUUCUCUCGGAAUCUCUUAUCACCAUUUUUUAUUUCCUUCUUCAGUCCUUCCUUUCAGACAUUCUGUGUUUUUCUGUGUGAAAAGAAACUGUUUGCUACAGUAUGAAUGAGAGGGUAGGAUGACUUAGUGGACAAAGGAAGAGAGGGAUGGGUAUAUACCAAAAGGAAAAUCAUGUGAUAAGAAAAUUUUGGAGCAGAUUGUAGAAGGCAGGCAGGCUGUAACUAAAUUUAGGCUGAUGCUGGGAUGAGGCAAAAAUAAAGUAUUUAAUGUAUGCCUGUGGCAAUUAUUAAUAUUAAUAUGAAUUUGUAAUGGCUGUUAGAGACAUAAAACUAGGUGAAUAAAAAUUGAUCAUAGAAUUUAUACAAACCAUCAUGGUGAUUUAAAUCCUCAUGAUCAGUGUUUACUUAUGUCUUAGGGUAGAAUAAUGAACCUUUAAUUGCAGGCAAGCAAUUUUAUGUCAGAAUAAAUCAGAACUUGGGUGCAGUGAUUCCAUUUAUCCAACAAUGCAGUUGAUUUUGGCACUCAUUCAGCAUUCUUUAUAUUAAGUUUUAAUGCAAAGCAUCUGAAGCACACUUAAUAAAGUCAUUAGAUACAACCCAUACAUGAUGAAAUGUUCCCCAUCCUCUCCCCUUUUUCUCCUUUCGACCCACACAAGGCUUAUUUUUACAAUACAGAUCCACUUUUUGAUCUCUAAACUAAAAGAUACAAUGAGCCAAACAAAACAAAACACAUAUGCAACAAACGCGGUUGGCUUCUGAGGCUGAAAGGGUGAAAUGCAGAAUGAAUUCUUCUUCCAGGAAUGUUUUGUUAAGCAUUCAGAAACAUUGUUUUCUGAAGGAACUAUAGAGAUUAAAUGGUCUGGAACAAUAUCAUAUGAAAAGAUAGAUGACUGUGUUUUAAAAGCAGGAGAUCUUAAUCUUAGUCUAGAAUGGAGAAAGAGAAUUAUCUUUUAAAAUUUAUUUAUUCUAGUUUCAGCAUAUAUUAAACAUGAUGUGACCUGUCCUGAACUUGAGACUCAUUUAAGAAGUAAUAUAAAAUGUUAUUAAAGACCAGACAUGCUAAUAGGAUAGCAACAAAACCUCAUGUCAAUGCUGACUCCUGGAUGUCUCAGGCAGCUCCCGCCAGAACUCAGAGCCAGCAAACUAGAAGACUGGGUUAAACACCUAAAGCAGUCUGAGCUGGGGGUCUGAGAAGGUGGCAUUUCUUUUUAUUUUAGUCAUUUAAAGGCAGGUUUUGUGGCCUUUACCAUGCAGCUGGAAGAGCAGUAGUGUGCUUAUGGGAAAUGUCCUGGCCAGGGAGCGAGUAAGCUGCUGUUGGGGAGAACCAUGGUGUGUAGAGGUGGUGGUGGGAGCUGCUGAUGGCCGUUGCUUUGGAGCUGGCCACCACACCUCAGUUAUGUGUUCUGGGCAAGCUAGUGUUAAUGGGCAGGUCCUAUGUGAUAGCUAUCUCUAAUGAAGAGGCAGGAGCACUUUUGUCCACAUGAGUUGGAGUCACUGGGGUGGCAGCAAUGUCUUCAUCCUGUUGAAGACUGUGAGUUGCAGAGAGCAUGGCUGGAGAUGCCACCAACAUUAGCUGGCUUCCAUGCCUUUGGCAUAAUUUCAGUUUGCUGUGCUGCAAAGCAGCCAUCCUAGCAGCUACAUCAGGAGCAGCUCAGCUCUGCAGUAUCAGGCACAGAGAUGACUGGUAGCAGAAAGCUGAACAUCUUCCUCAGUCAUAUGUCCCUGUGCAUGAGACAGAGCCCUGCCAGAAACUGCUUCAUGCUCUUGAAAAAAGGAAGACAUUUAAGCAUUCCCUGGGAGGGGCAGCUUUUGAUCAGCAUGCUGGUUAAAAAAAAACACAUCCUUUGAGGGUUUACAGUGCAGCUGUUAAAAUCUCUACCAGAAUUACCGAUGCUUGAGCUAGAAGGUGGAAAACCAUAAGACAAAGACAAGGUUAUUGAUGUUAAAAUCAAGACAAGGUAACUAUAACAACCUUCAAGAAAUUAGCAGUCUAAAGGAAAUGAAGUUCUAUCUUUUUGUAAGAAUAUUGAAAGUAAAUCAGAGGAAAUUAGGCAACAGUAUCUAAAAAGACAUUCUCAUUUUCUGGUGGAUGAUAUUUUAUAAUGGCAAAAACCAGAACAACCUAGCCCCCAGCACCCUAAAAUGAUGAUGAAUUUGCACAUAAAUUGCAAAUGUUUUGGCAAGAAUGAGUAUCAAGGUCAUGACUAAGGUGUUUCUGCUUUUAUAAGAUAUGUUUUUGAUUCUUUGUUUUUGUGUUUUAAAUUAGACUUGUGAAAUGCGUACAAAAUCAGAAAAAAUUCCUGAAGUAAAAUAAAAAAUGUAACAUUUCUGUUUCAGUUUAAACAAGUGUUCACUGUAUCACCGGGAUAUUUAUCACUGGGAGGAACUGGAGAAGAUAAUAAGUCAGAAUGAACUGUAUGAAUUUCUGAGCAUUAUCAGAGCAUUAUGCUACUUCAUAUAAUAUAUAUGACAUUAUAUAUAUAUGGUAUUUUAAAAUUUUAGCAAUAUCAACAUAAUUUAUUUUUUAACUGUUAAUAGUUAGCUUUAAUUAUAACAGUAUCUUACCAAGUGUAAGCAAAAAUAAAGUUUGAGUGCCUUAUUUUUGGGGUAAAUUCAGUACUGAACUCUCUAAUUUAAAAGCAUUUCUUUACGUAUUGAAAUGGAAUCUCAGCAGGACUUUAUGAUUAAAAUUGAAAUCAUUUGCCAUGCCUUAUAUAUAAUUGGGCUAAUUAACUGAUGGACACACAUAAGUCAAAUUUUCCAUGUAAGCACCUGAUGUACCGUAUUUUAUCUGGUGACUUUCUAAUUAAUACUGAAAAAUACAUUACCAUCCCCUCCCCCAGCAUCCCUUAACAGAAGUCUAAGGCUGUGAGGUUAAACACUUGAAGGAUAGAGAAAUGCAAGGCUCAAGGCUGUCAGUGCACUCUCAGGUCAUAUUCUGUUUACAAAUGUUCAUGACCUUCAAUGAUGUGAUCUUUCCCUGUUCACUGUUGCUGUGCCCACAAAUACAGGGGCGUUCAGGUGGUAAGAAACUUCUGCGAAGUCCUAGUCAAAUUUUGUCACACAAAUUUGGAACAUUUGACUGCCAAACAUUAGGAAGUAUUUCUUCAGUAUAUGUGAACUAUAUACAUAUAUAUAUAUAUAUAUAUAUAUAUAUUUAUUUUUUUUUUUCAGAGGGUUUUAUUUGGUCAACUCUGUAAAGUAGUAGCUCUGUCUUAAGACAGAGCACUGUCCAAGCUCUUUUUUUUUUUAGUCCAGUUCCUCCUUAAUAUCAUUCGCUCAAUAACAUCUGAACCAUGAAAAUUACAUGUAGGCAUGUAAAGUAUUGGUCUGAGGUUGUUAUCCACAGAAUCACAGAAUCACAGAAUUUCUAGGUUGGAAGAGACCUCAAGAUCAUCGAGUCCAACCUCUGACCUAACACUAACAGUCCCCACUAAACCAUAUCCCUAAGCUCUACAUCUAAACGUCUUUUAAAGACCUCCAGGGAUGGUGACUCCACCACUUCCCUGGGCAGCCUGUUCCAGUGUCUAACAACCCUUUCAGUAAAGAAGUUAUUCCUAAUCAUUGAAAUUAAAGGAACCUUCAGGAUUCUGGAGUAGAAAAAGCCCAUUCAGUCAAGGAGUCUGAAAAAAACUAAACAUUCAAUGCAGUUCAGAUUCUAGUGUGCAGCUCAAACGUAUCUCUUGAUUUGGAAGAUCAUGUAAACACAUACAUCAUUUUCUUGAAUCAGAAAAGUUACGGUACAAAUAAGACAACAAAACUGCCACAUAUUUAAAAAACAAAACAAAACAAAAAAACAUUAAGAAUAUAUCUGGUAUGUAAAAGAAAUUCGAACCUGACAUCAAAGGAACAAAAGAUACUUAAAGAAGUUCAGAUUUCUCACAGAAUCAUAGAAUAUCCUAAGUUGGAAGGGACCUAUAAGGAUCACAAAGUCCAACUCCUGGCACCACACAGGUCUAUCCAAAAAUUCAGAUGAUAUGACUAUUUGUUUGCAAUAUACUUGGUAAAAUUAGUUUACGUUUUUAAAUUUUCUAUAACUUGCUAUUUUGUUGUUUAAAAAUUAUUUUACCACCACUGUUUUUAAGAACUUAUUUUGUCAGUGAUUAUUUGAAAAAUUUGAUUUUAUUGAUGUCUGGAUUAGCAGAGAAAAAUAUAAAUCACAUUCACUUCAAAGAGAUUUCAGCUAGAUUUAAGCCACUUAAUAGUAGAAGAGUUGAAUCUUAUAAAGUGCUUCCAUAUAAAAAAUAAAUAAUUAAUUAGAGACAAAACUAUUUCUUUACUACUUAUCAAAUGUGUUCAAAAUUUUCUGCGUGGAUAUUGCAAUGAAUAAAACUUCAGUCACCUGAUUUUGUUGAAAACAAAACAAAACAAAACAGAAAUGAAUGAGAAAAUGAAAGCUACCACCUUCACAGAAGAUAAGUCAGCAGAGACAACAUUUCAAGACACAAUACAGUAAUUUAAAGUGUCAAAGAAUUACUAAUAAAGAGUCCUUAUGACAAUCAAGACUGAGACCUGGUAAUCGAUUUCCUGUGGGGGCUAUGGCUGUUACAACUUUUGCUGAACAUUGGUGUAAGUUAUAAAGUAUCUUACUUCAAAUUAUACAAAAGAAGAAUUUACUGCUUUCAGUACCUCUACACAGAUCCAUACAUUUGGAUUAAAAGUGCCAGUUGACAAACAAUUUCUGCUGAGGAAAUGAUAAGAAAUUUUUGAAAAUCUACCCCCAUAUUCAUUUACAUGUACUUGGAUGACCAUUAGUUUUCUUUUCUUUUAUCUUUUGGACUCAUGUGCCUUGAUGCAAAGAGAAUAGGCAUUGGGAUGGCCACACGAAGAGGAAGAAUAAGCUUUAGCAAAUGCAGAUAAGUAUCAUUAUUGAAGAGUUAUGCAUGUUGGUUGCAUUUUAAAUACUUCAAAUUACUUAACAUCUUGUCUAGAUCCUUCUAUAUAACUAGUUAUUAUUCAAGAGCUAAAGAUAAUUUUAAUUGUCAGUUAAAAGCCAACUUCCAUCUUAAUUUUUAUUCAAUUUAAGGUUAAUCAAAAUUUCUUGACAUGUUAAGGAGCCAAACAGAGCAUUAUUUUUGCUUCUUAGAAGAAUUGAGAACCUAAGUAAGUAAAAAAGAAGUGUAAUUGCCAGGCAAAUCUGUUUAUUCAAAUUCUAUUCUCAUGGACCUUCUCUCUCGCUCUGUUUAUACAUAAGUGAAAGUAUUCAUUGUUAUGUCAGUUUCCAUCUACUUACUCAGUUGCGCAGCUCCUUAGAGUAAUGAAAAAGAAAGCAAAAUAAGAUUUUAAAGCCUCAUGUCCAAUCUGUUUUUAAAUUAUGUCAUCUCAUUCAAGUUUUCUAUUUAUAUUUUUUAAAAAAGUGAUUUGCUCUUUGGUGAAGCUGUCUUUGAUUAUGCUCCUUAAUUCUUAAGCUAGUUAAAUACACUAAGUUUUGUAGUUUAAAUAAAUUCUUAAAGUUCCAAAAUUUGCAAUGGUCCUAUUUUUAGAAAAUCUGUAUAACCUGAUAGAGAAAAUAGUAAUUCAGUAAGUAUGUUUAGCCCUCCAGCCUGAGGAGCUUAUAAAGCUUCCUUUGUUCAUAUAAUGGAUACAUUUUCCAGAUUUCUAUUAAUGUAAGUUGUGAAGCCCAUGACUUCUUCACAGUCAGAGAAAUAAGUAUAAGUGGAUGGUAUGAUGGCCUUCUGCAGGCAGAAGUUCCCUUGCCCUGCUCAUGGUCUGAGUCAAGUGAGAACUUUUAAUGGCUCUAGCUAAUAGCUAUUAGGCCUGUGCAGUUUGCAUCAAAUGCACCCACAUUUGGCUCAAAACAUGCAAAGAGCAAACAGGUCUGUCUCUAGAAGACCUUGUAAAUAUUGCUGAUGAUAUUAUCUUGAAUCUAUCUCCAUGUAAAGCAAUUAAUUGAACAAAUAGUACAGUACUGUGUUGCCACAUAAAGAUUCAUUGGUCUCUUUCUAUAGUUCCUGGGGGAGAGACAUUCAUGCCUGGAUUGUUCUGAAAGAUGACUCUGAAAGAUGAUUGCCUUGAAGUCUCCUUAGGAAUGUUUAAAGCAAAAUACAGUUUUUGUUUAAAGCAAAAACAAUUUUUGGAAAACCUCAGUCACCCAUAAGUUUGGAAAAGAAGUCAAGUGUAGAGGCCCUCUGCGGUCUUUAGGCACCAUGGGCUGAAUGUUGAUGGCCACUCUUACUCUAGAUCUCACACUUGUUUCCCUGGGUGGAGCCAUAUCUCUGGUAAGGCUCACAGGCUUCCCAGGAAGCAAACUGGUUAAAUGGUUCACAUUCUCAGGGAUGUGCUGUAGCUCUUCUCUGCAAAGAGCAGAGGGGGAGGUUUGGGAUCACUGAGUCCACAACAGUGGUGGGGGUGACCAAAAGGCAGAGCAAGGGCACAUAGGAGAUCUUCCCUACUCUGGGACUUGCCAGUGGAAGCCAUGGAAGCCUCCUUUCCCAUGACUUGUUUCUGUAUUUUAGCUGCUAUUAGUUUAAUGCAGAAUGCAGAAGUGGUGCUGGGAGUUAGAGCGUUCCUGUCAUGCUAAGUGCUGACUUACACAGUCAUGUGUCCUUUUUGCCCUCAUCUGCUUUGGUAAAUCACAGGUUUAGAGGGAGGCAUCAGCUCCUCACAUGUCUCUAACGCUUGGCUAAGUUUCACCUUGCCCCUACAUCAAACAGUCCUGUAUCACCAAGAUACUGAAGCGUGCAUUUAUGUUAUGCACACUUUUAACAGGAUAAUUUAACAUCAUUUUGCAAAUAAACACUAGACCAAGAAAUGCACUUUAGUCUUCGAAGAUCAGACAGAAAAUUAAUUUUGGAUGAGUUUGGUUUCCCUGAUCUGGGAAGAAACUUAGUAUGGACUUCUGCACCCACUAAAAAACAAUCUCAUCCAGUUAUAAUUCUGGAGCUGGAAAACAAAAAAAAAAAAAACACAAACAUAGUGAACUGAGAUGAUUUUACUAGACUAUCCUGGGAAAACCAUAUUAAGAAAUUAUAUUAAUAAAUAUUAAGAUAUCUAAAUUCAGUGUAGUAUGAAUACUGUAGAAGCCCAUUGUACCUAUUGGAGUUUUAUAACGAAAGGGUUCUACUACCUUCCAGAAUCAGAUAAUAUUCAAUACUUGAUAUUCUUCCUCCAAAAUGUUGUUAUUCUGUUCCAAUGGUGAUGUAAAAUGUAUUAGUUUGAACAGCUCAGAGGAACCAAACAAUAGGAACCAAGGAACCACACCAAGGAACAGUUACAGCAGUUUUGCGGUUGUGGUAACUUGCUGAAGAGCUUUUCUCUGUGUAUGCAGGAAGGCAGCAUCUCUGGGGCUCUGACUCACACGGAGGGGAUGUUGUGUCUCUCUGUAAGUUCCCCACCACUCCAACUGGGGAUCCUACUCUCACUUUUAAUUCCCACAAGAUACAUCUUUUAAAGACCAAGGCAUUGUAAUUCUUCUGUAACACCAGUGAUGUUUUCAGGGAGAUGUUCCCUUCUUUCUAUUGACAUGCUCGCAUCUCAUUGUUAAAAAAAAUACUAAAAGCAUUGGUUUGGUAAAAGUAUUAGAAAAUAAUCUAUUGCUUUAUAUAUAGGAAAUAUCAUAUGUAGCUAGUAUAGUCACUACCAGGAGAUUUGGACCCUGACGAUAAGUAUUAAAUUUAAGAAACAGGGUUGCUAAGUGGAGGUUUGGUUUCUCCCUUUUUGGGUUCAACUACAGUAUGAAACUUUCACAAAAUAGGAGAAUCUCAAGUGUGUGAAGAUGGCCUCACCAGGAUCAUCUCCCUUGCCCAAAUGUGGGGGAAGAGAGGGAAGCUCUUCAGAGGAAGAGAAAUUCCCAGGAACAGCAGUCAAGUGCUACUGGUGAAUGUACUGAAGAUGGUGGAUGGCAGUCGGAGGUGUCACAGAAUAAUGGAUAGGGAGCUGUUUAUUUUACAUCAGAAAUAGCCUUCAUUUAGCACAGACACAGCUUUGCAUCUGACCAAAACACAUAUGUGUUGGAUGCAGAAAUAGAUUUUUUCUCAGUGUUUUGUCAAACAUGGGUUUUGGUACAUAUUUAUCAAACUUUAUUGUUGAAAAUCUUUGGAAUUUUGUACAACUCUGGCAACUGUUUCCAUACAUCCAAGUUAUCAUUUUAAAAGGUAAAACCAAAAACCAUUCCCAGUAUUUCUUUACUGCUGGCAUUUAUAUUGUGACCAUGCUGAAGAGGUGAUGCACAUGCUACAUACAGGAACCAGUGGUGCCUGGCUAAACUAGCUUGGCAUAGAGACGUGUGAUCUGGCAAAGAACAGACGUUUCCUUUGCUAAUGAAUCUGUGUGAGCAGUUCGGCUUAGACAGAAACAAACUGUAAAAUGCCAGCUCAGCAGGAGCACUUCCUCGAAUACAUCAAAGCUGUUCCUUUCUACAUGGCACAGAUGAGCUCUUUCCAAGAAUUUCCAGGCCAGUAUUCUUGCUUUUCAAAGUGUUUUUAAAUGGCUACAAAUCCCUCCCCUCCUGAAUGCCCCAAAACAAACAUGUAAAAAUUAGAAGCAUAAAAAUAUUAAAAUCAUCAGUCAAGCAAAGUGUGAACACAGCUGGAAGCAGUGUCCCCUUGAGAUUUUGCUUAUAUCCUCACUAUAUUUAAAAAUACAUGUAGCUCUUAUUCUUGGGAAAGCAGAUAUACUAAACUGUGUUUUCUCUAUCUGGUUACUUACUAUAUAUAUAUAUUAUAUAUAUAUCAUAAUGUUGAAUUCCCCCUAGAUCUAAGCACUAAGGCACUAGAUACAUUAUUGACGUGGGAUAGAUCUCAGCUGCAGCAGUAACUGGGUUGUAGUUUUGCUUACUUCAGCAGGAUGUGAUAUAAGAAUCUGAAGCAAUAUCAGAAGAAACACAAUAGCUGAGUUAUAAAGUCUUACGGCUUUUCUGAGGCCCACUUCUUGUUUGCAUGGCUGUGAGGUGUAAGGGAGCAGGAAAACAGCAAGUCAAGUUGUUAGUAAUUAUACAAAAGUAGCUGGGUUGUUGCCUCUGCCCCCCAUGCCCUAAGGCAGGGAAAAGGCAGCGUGUUAAGAGCUGUGAGCUCUCUCAUAGGUCUUCACCAAUUGUUUCACAGUUUUUGGACAAAUGCUGGCAACUGGCUGCCCUGUCAUGAUAAAGAUGGGGAUAGUGAGUUGUGAUGGGGACAUUGGGCUCAUAGGGAAGGACUCAAUAGCUUCCAGGCCGCUGGUGUCUUGCUGCAUGCAUUGGAACAGGAGAAAUGGAAGAAAGGAGAGACAAGUGAGGUUUCUGGCCAAGGCUGGACUUUCGUCUAAAGCCCUGAGCAGUGUUGGGUCUGUGUAUUCACUUCAUCAGAAAGGUGUAGUGAUUCAGAUGCUGGCAUGCCAUGGAUUACUGAUCUGCUGUGGAGAAAAGUGAAUUAUUUAGUUAUUAUUUUUUUAAUGAGAAACAAAAGUAUGCUUUUGUAAGAAGUAAGAAGGAGAAUUUGGACAUGUUAACAACUGGACUAAGGUAGGUCCACUUGAUAAGCCAAACUGUAAUAACCCAUGUACCAUGAUUUUCAGGUGCUGAUGUAUAGCAGUAUAGGGGUAGUGGUCCCACCAGAGCUGGGUGCCAUGAGUGUGUGUGUGUGUGUGUAUGUGUGUGUGUGGCAUAGUCAAGCUCCCUGCACAGAGCUGUGGGAGAAAAGAAAAAGAACAUCAGCAUGUUUCAAGAGUGGUCAAGCACCUAAGCCUGCAGCUAUUCCUGAUUGCCUCUGAGAUCUGCUGACAGAGCACCACUGGUGUGAAAGAAGAAUCCUCUAGGAUGCAGACAGCUCCUGGGAUUAAAACUGCUCCUGCUAUUUGUGUGUGAGCAAAGCAAACAGCUGGAAAAAUGUGGAGGGCUUGUCCUAGCAUCACAACUGGAUCUCCCUAGACCAUCAUAGCUGAAUCUGCUGUGCUAGUAAGGCCCAAAAGAUGGUCUGGAAGAUGGCCUGCACAAAGAUGGCCUGCAUAAAGAUGUUCUAGAAGAUGUGGAGUGAAACAGGAUGGAGAGGAAAUGAGGGACCGGGAGGAAGAGAGGACUGUGAGAUAAUGGAGAACAUUAAGUCUAUCAAAACAAAACAAAACAAAACAAAAGUAAUAUCAUAAGAUAUCCAUCAAUAGGGCAGAAAAUGUGCCCUACUGUCAUCAAAAAAAGACUACGAUGUUCUUUUCUGAUCACAUGCAUGGAGACUUGCAUGGAGAUCACUGAUGCUCAGAAUUAGAAGUGUCUGCAAAUUUUUUGGGAAAAUGAUUCCUUAAAAAAACAUGUUCUUUUCCCACUGAAAUUUUCUCACUGAAGAUCCGAAGAUAAAAAUUACCCAAAGAUUUUCUCCAGGAUACUUCUACUUCUACUUCUACUUGCUACACUAGUAGAGUGUAGUUUUGCUGAGUCAGUUCAAUAAACCUUUUUUUUUUUUUUUUUUUUUUUUGUUUCUGAACUGAAUCAAUGUUAAUUUUUAAUACUUUAUAGCUCAUUUCCCCAAAAAAAUAAUUCUGGAAUUUGUCAUGAAACAGAUUGUGUAGUUUCCAUUCAUGGGAUACUUUCAUUGAAGAUGUUGAAGAUAUUGUUUAAUAGAAAAAUGAAAUGAAAGGUAUCUUUAGAUAUUUACGGAUAACAUAACUAAACAAAUAAAAAUUUAAAAAUUUAGAGGAAAUAUAA